rnacentral:rRNA from 1 species
GACGAACCGUGCGAACGUUGUUCGGAAUCACUGGGCUUAAAGGGCGCGUAGGUGGUCUGUCAAGUCAAGGGUGAAAUCUUUCGGCUCAACCGGAAAACUGCCUUCGAUACUGGCAGGCUAGAGGGAGAUAGGGGUUGCGGGAACUACCAGUGGAGCGGUGAAAUGCGUAGAUAUCGGAAUGAACGCCGGUGGCGAAGGCGGCGAUCUGGGCAGAUACUGACGCUGAGGUGCGAAAGCGUGGGGAGCAAACAGG